rnacentral:rRNA from 1 species
GCGCGAAAACUUUACAAUGCUGGGAACAGCGAUAAGGGAACCUCGAGUGCCAGGUUACAAAUCUGGCUGUCGUGAUGCCUAAAAAGCAUUAUAUAGCAAGGGCCGGGCAAGACCGGUGCCAGCCGCCGCGGUAACACCGGCGGCUCGAGUGGUAACCGUUAUUAUUGGGUCUAAAGGGUCUGUAGCCGGCCGGAUAAGUCUCUUGGGAAAUCUGGCAGCUUAACUGUCAGGCUUUCAGGGGAUACUGUCUGGCUCGAGGCCGGGAGAGGUGAGAGGUACUUCAGGGGUAGGGGUGAAAUCUUGUAAUCCUUGAAGGACCACCAGUGGCGAAGGCGUCUCACCAGAACGGACCUGACGGCAAGGGACGAAAGCUAGGGGCACGAACCGG